rnacentral:lncRNA from 1 species
CCGCCGCGCCCGGGACGGCGCCCCCGCCCCGAAGCCCCGCGCCGGCGCCAGAGAGCCCCGCCAAGCUGGAACCCAAGCCCAUCGUGCCCAAAGCCGAACCCAAGGUCAAGGCCCGCAAGACGGAGGCCCGAGGGCUGACCAAGGCUGGGGCCAAGAAGAAGGCUCGGAAGGAGGCCGCGGCGGCGGCAGAGGUCGAGGUGGAGGAGGUCCCCAACACCGUCCUCAUCUGCAUGGUGAUCCUGCUGAACAUCGGUCUGGCCAUCCUCUUCGUUCACCUCCUGACCUGACCUCGUCCCCCAGAGCCAGGAGUUCCUGCUGAGGACGCAUGGAGCCAUCUUUUGCAGUGCCAGGCAGGGCGGCUGAGGAGGACUGGACGUGGAUGCUGGGGGUCCACUCGCAUCCACACCACGAACGUUUAAGGAGGCUUCCCGUGGCAUCUGUGCCCAGAUGCAGGCGGUGCCGAGAGGAAGAGAAAAGCUCUCUGCCCAGCAGCAGGGAAAGCCCUGAAAGGAGAGCCCUGGUCUUGAACUUCCCAAUCUGCUUCAUCCCCCAUCCCGUCCACUCCCCCGCCUCCACCCCUACCCUAGGUCACCCCCUCCCCAGGCUUUUUGUGUUUUGGGAGAAGUCACCAAACCAGGAUGUUAAAUCCCAGCCUCCUCCUUCCUACCCUCCUUGGCUUUAUUUUAAACUUCUGAGGCCUCCCAGGAAGCGGAGGAAGUGACGAGAUCUCUGUGGUGGGUCAUGGAGGGUGAUGCUCUCAGCCCACCAGCCCUUCUUGUCUCAGUCCUGACCCCUCCCACACUCUGUCCCUUGCUUCCAGAUGCUCAGGAUGACAAUAGAGGAAAUGGACGUCUUCUGUUUGAAUAUCCCAGAAUACAGUGCUUCCGUCUCCUCCCACCGGUCCAGUUAGCUUCCCUCUGGACCAGCAGGAGAG